rnacentral:rRNA from 1 species
UUCGCAAUGCCCGAAAGGGUGACGAAGCGACGCCGCGUGCGGGAAGAAGGCCUUCGGGUUGUAAACCGCUGUCGGGAGUUAAGAAAUGCAGAGAUGUUAAUAGCGUCUUUGCUUGACUAAGGCUCCGGAGGAAGCCACGGCUAACUCUGUGCCAGCAGCCGCGGUAAUACAGAGGCGGCAAGCGUUGUUCGGAAUUAUUGGGCGUAAAGAGCACGUAGGCGGCUAUGUAAGUCGGUUGUGAAAGCCUUCCGCUCAACGGGAGAACAGCAUCCGAUACUGCAUGGCUUGAGUGUGGGAGGGGAGAGUGGAACUUCUGGUGGAGCGGUGAAAUGCGUAGAUAUCAGAAGGAACGCCGGCGGCGAAAGCGGCUCUCUGGCCCGUAACUGACGCUGAGUGUGCGAAAGCUGGGGGAGCAAACGGGAUUAGAUACCCCGGUAGUCCUAGCCGUAAACGAUGGGCACUAAGUAGAGGGGUUUU